UACAGAGGUCUCAAGCGUUGUUCGGAUUCAUUGGGCGUAAAGGGUGCGUAGGUGGCGUGGUAAGUCGGGUGUGAAAUUUCGGAGCUUAACUCCGAAACUGCAUUCGAUACUGCCGUGCUUGAGGACUGGAGAGGAUAGUGGAAUUCCCGGUGUAGAGGUGAAAUUCGUAGAGAUCGGGAGGAACACCAGUGGCGAAGGCGACUAUCUGGCUGACAACUGACGCUGAGACUCGAAAGCAUGGGGAGCAAACAGG
rnacentral:rRNA from 1 species